rnacentral:rRNA from 2 species
UUGACGUUAGCGGCGGACGGGUGAGUAACACGUGGGUAACCUACCUAUAAGACUGGGAUAACUUCGGGAAACCGGAGCUAAUACCGGAUAACAUUUGGAACCGCAUGGUUCUAAAGUGAAAGAUGGUUUUGCUAUCACUUAUAGAUGGACCCGCGCCGUAUUAGCUAGUUGGUAAGGUAACGGCUUACCAAGGCAACGAUACGUAGCCGACCUGAGAGGGUGAUCGGCCACACUGGAACUGAGACACGGUCCAGACUCCUACGGGAGGCAGCAGUAGGGAAUCUUCCGCAAUGGGCGAAAGCCUGACGGAGCAACGCCGCGUGAGUGAUGAAGGGUUUCGGCUCGUAAAACUCUGUUAUUAGGGAAGAACAAAUGUGUAAGUAACUGUGCACAUCUUGACGGUACCUAAUCAGAAAGCCACGGCUAACUACGUGCCAGCAGCCGCGGUAAUACGUAGGUGGCAAGCGUUAUCCGGAAUUAUUGGGCGUAAAGCGCGCGUAGGCGGUUUCUUAAGUCUGAUGUGAAAGCCCACGGCUCAACCGUGGAGGGUCAUUGGAAACUGGGAAACUUGAGUGCAGAAGAGGAAAGUGGAAUUCCAUGUGUAGCGGUGAAAUGCGCAGAGAUAUGGAGGAACACCAGUGGCGAAGGCGACUUUCUGGUCUGUAACUGACGCUGAUGUGCGAAAGCGUGGGGAUCAAACAGGAUUAGAUACCCUGGUAGUCCACGCCGUAAACGAUGAGUGCUAAGUGUUAGGGGGUUUCCGCCCCUUAGUGCUGCAGCUAACGCAUUAAGCACUCCGCCUGGGGAGUACGACCGCAAGGUUGAAACUCAAAGGAAUUGACGGGGACCCGCACAAGCGGUGGAGCAUGUGGUUUAAUUCGAAGCAACGCGAAGAACCUUACCAAAUCUUGACAUCCUUUGAAAACUCUAGAGAUAGAGCCUUCCCCUUCGGGGGACAAAGUGACAGGUGGUGCAUGGUUGUCGUCAGCUCGUGUCGUGAGAUGUUGGGUUAAGUCCCGCAACGAGCGCAACCCUUAAGCUUAGUUGCCAUCAUUAAGUUGGGCACUCUAGGUUGACUGCCGGUGACAAACCGGAGGAAGGUGGGGAUGACGUCAAAUCAUCAUGCCCCUUAUGAUUUGGGCUACACACGUGCUACAAUGGACAAUACAAAGGGCAGCUAAACCGCGAGGUCAUGCAAAUCCCAUAAAGUUGUUCUCAGUUCGGAUUG